AUGUAUUCAGUCCAAUUGUCCAAGUCCAACUCCCGUUGCCUCUUCCUGCUUCAUCUCCUUUAUGCUCCUUUUUUAGAGUUUACUUUAUUUUUCACUAACAAGGAAAAUAUAGCAACAUGUUAUCCGCCAUGAACAAAUUGCAAAUUACACACACUGAGGGAGAGAGAGCAUCAUAAUUAAUUAGACAGCACAAUCCCAACACCGUCUUUAACCCCAUUUCCAAUCAAUCCAAGUGCUCCACUGCUACCAGUACCACUCCUCUUCCUCCUCCACUUUACCCCGUUCUUCUUCCAUUACCUCCGCCAUGUCUUCCAAGCCCAAAUCUACUGUAUCUGAUACUCCUAAAAAAGCAUCACCAGCAGCAACCCCUCCACCUCGACUUAGUAAACUCGGCCGGGGAGUUGCUAAAUCCGAAUCCGAUUCACCUUCACCUUUGCAAAAUUCUCGCCUUUCAGUUGAUCGCUCCCCGCGCUCUGUCAAAUCCAAGCCCGCCCUUGAGCGUCGGUCACCCAAGAUCACUACCCCCACCUCCACCCCCCCCUGAAAAACAACCGACACGGGUUGCAAAGGGAUCAGAGAUACAGGCUCAAUUAGGUCUUGUUCAGGAAGAUCUGAAGAAGGCAAAGGAGCAGAUAAUU
rnacentral:sRNA from 1 species